rnacentral:miRNA from 1 species
GGCACCGGACUGGCGCCCUU